UAAGGAGGCAGCAAGCGUUGUUCGGAAUUACUGGGCGUAAAGGGUGCGGAGGCGGUUUUGUAAGUUUGGUGUGAAAUCUCCCGGCUUAACUGGGGGGGUGCGCCGAAAACUGCAAGGCUAGAGUGCAAGAGAGGAGAGUGGAAUUCCUAGUGUAGCGGUGAAAUGCGUAGAUAUCAGGAGGAACAACGGUGGUGUAGACGGCUCUCUGGACUGUUACUUACGCUGAGGCACGAAAGCGUGGGGAGCAAACAGG
rnacentral:rRNA from 1 species